rnacentral:lncRNA from 1 species
UGUAACGUCACCGAGGAGCUCAUACAUCAUCAAAAAAAAUACAAACAUAUCCAACUUACAAAAUGAGCCUUUCUCGACUUUUUCAUCCCUUUCAACUUAAUAAUGAAUCACAAUAUAGAAUUUCAUCAUAUAUGCUGAUACAUCAUAACAUACUUUUAUCUGAAUACUUGAAAUUCUGCAGCUUUCAUUCAAGGAGACGGAACAAACUAGUCUAAUAAUUCUAAUGCUUCCAUGUUGGUUCAUCGUCAUGUAUUCCCCUAUCUCGAGCUAACCAAGAAACUGUCACAAAUAAACUUCAAUAUAAAUUUUUGAACAUGUUUAAGGACUGAUUCCGAGCAAUUGAGUGAAAACCAACAUGGUAGUGCAAGUGAUCAAUUGCAGGUGAAGUAAAAUAAUGUUAGUACACGUCUCUAUCACCUCUAGAGAGGUGGAGACUCAAAUUCAUCAAUCUGAAGUAGAAGAAAGAGGUGGAACACUGGUAGAAGAACACCCAAUUAACCCAGAUCUUUUACUAAUCUAUCCGUUGGCUAGAGAGAGAGAGAGAAGUGUUAUCAUAGGUAACAUCAAAGGUUCAUUUACGAUUCUGAGUUUUCUUUCGCUUAUGCUAAUUAUGAAGAAUUAGUCGAUAGAGAGCCAUUUUGUCGAUUUUAUCUCGUAAGUGGACAGAUCGUAAUAAGUAGUAAAGUGGACCUUAUGAGUCCUAAUUAUUAUUCCCAUGAGGACUAUACUUUAAUACUCAAUUUAUUAUUCCUAACUUCUAUUUGAUGAAAAUAAACAAAGCACAAAAAAUGUGAUUUUUAAAUCUAACUACUAAAAAAUUCGUGAAUGCAACAGAGAAUGAGUGAGAAUUCAAAUAAUAUAUGGAGAUUAGGCGGAACAAAUUCACCUAUUGGUCGCCUUUGCUUCUAAUAUCAGGAUUCAUAAAAUUAAAGUAGUGUUCGAUCGAAUUCUUCUAUGAUAUUCAAUUUACCCAUCUCGAGUUCCCAUUGAAUUUAUUUAAAUAAUUCAAUUCUAUAUCUCUAUGCGAAUCAACAUUAUUCAAAUGAAAUAACAGUUCUAAAAAUUCCUAUAAGAUCGUAGAAAUUAAUAUACGUAUCUCUACACGUAAUAUUAAUUUAUCGAAUUUUAAUAUGUGAUCUAAACAAAAAUCUGCAUCUCUACGUAAUUCUUUUUUACUAAAUCAUUGAAUAAUUAGCCAGAAAAUUCAAAACAUUAAAAAUAUAAUUAAAAUCCACACAUAAAAUAUAAAAUAAAAAGAAUUUUAAAUAAAAGAAAUAAAGAUAUUAAAUAUGUUACCUUAUUUGCCCUAAAAUUAAAUUUAACUAUGCAUAUUAAUGAGAAAAAAAAAAGAAAUUAUCAUGAAAUUCAUCGUCCUACUAAUUGAUGGAAAGUGAAUAAUUUGCAAAAAGUAAAUCUGCCGUCUCUUUCUUCUCCGUGUGCUUCUGUCUUUCUUCAAUUUUUCUACAACUUCCAGCUUCUGCGUAAUCUCUUGACUCCCCCAAUUCCUCUCUUCCUGUCGUAUAUAUCUCUCUCCAAAAUAAUUAAGAAGCCACCAAAUUUGACCAAAAAGGGAUUCUAGCUUCUCCGAUUUCCAUGCGUGUAUAUAGGACAUUGGCUGCCCUCUUUUUGCCUCCUGCGUGUAUAUAUAUCUCCUUACGGUAGGCAGCCCUUGUUGAUAUUUUAUAUGAGUUGAAUUCCCAAGUAGCCCACAUGUUUGAC